rnacentral:rRNA from 1 species
UGGGGAAUAUUGGGCAAUGGGCGCAAGCCUGACCCAGCAACGCCGCGUGAAGGAAGAAGGCUUUCGGGUUGUAAACUUCUUUUCUCAGGGACGAACAGAUGACGGUACCUGAGGAAUAAGCCACGGCUAACUACGUGCCAGCAGCCGCGGUAAUACGUAGGUGGCAAGCGUUAUCCGGAUUUACUGGGUGUAAAGGGCGUGUAGGCGGGAAAGCAAGUCAGAUGUGAAAACCAUGGGCUCAACCUGUGGCCUGCAUUUGAAACUGUUUUUCUUGAGUACUGGAGAGGCAGACGGAAUUCCUAGUGUAGCGGUGAAAUGCGUAGAUAUUAGGAGGAACACCAGUGGCGAAGGCGGUCUGCUGGACAGCAACUGACGCUGAGGCGCGAAAGCGUGGGGAGCAAACAGGAUUAGAUACC